AAUAGAUACCCCGGUAGUCCACGCCGUAAACUAUGAGAGCUAGCCGUCGGCAAGCAUGCUUGUCGGUGGCGCAGCUAACGCAUUAAGCGUCUCCGCCUGGGGAGUACGGUCGCAAGAUUAAAACUCAAAGGGAAUUGACGGGGGCCCGCACAAGCGGUGGAGCAUGUGGUUUAAUUCGAAGCAACGCGCAGAACCUUACCAGCCCUUGACAUCCCGGUCGCGGUUACCAGAGACUUGGGUUUCCUUCAGUUCGGCUGGACCGGUGACAGGUGCUGCAUGGCUGUCGUCAGCUCGUGUCGUGACGAUGUUGGGUUAAGUCCCGCUAACGAGCGUCAACCCUCGCCUUUUAGUUGCCAGUCAUUCAGUUGGGCAUCUAGAGGACUGCGGUGAUAGCCGAGAAGUGGGAUGCGUCAAGUCCUCAUGGCCCUUACGGGCUGGGCUACACACGUGGCUACAAUGGUGUGACAGGUGGCAGCAAGACUACGCGAGUGUGAGCUAAUCUCAAAAGCCAUCNCGUA
rnacentral:rRNA from 1 species